GCGCCUUGCCAGCCCGCUCAGAAACUCAAAGGAAUUGACGGGGACCCGCACAAGCGGUGGAUGAUGUGGAUUAAUUCGAUGCAACGCGAACAACCUUACCUACCCUUGACAUGUCCGGAACCCUGCUGAAAGGCGGGGGUGCCCGAAAGGGAAUCGGAACACAGGUGCUGCAUGGCUGUCGUCAGCUCGUGUCGUGAGAUGUUGGGUUAAGUCCCGCAACGAGCGCAACCCUUGUCCUUAGUUGCUACGCAAGGGCACUCUAAGGAGACUGCCGGUGACAAACCGGAGGAAGGUGGGGAUGACGUCAAGUCCUCAUGGCCCUUAUGGGUAGGGCUUCACACGUCAUACAAUGGCUGGUACAAAGGGUUGCCAACCCGCGAGGGGGAGCUAAUCCCACAAAGCCAGUCGUAGUCCGGAUCGCAGUCUGCAACUCGACUGCGUGAAGCUGGAGUUGCUAGUAAACGCGCGUCAGCUAUAGUGCGUUGAAUACGUUCUCGGGCCUU
rnacentral:rRNA from 1 species